AAAGCUUCAGAUCGCGCCGUAUAUUAGGCCAAUUUGAAGACAUGGGUGCCACACUGGGUCGUACGUUAGACCGUAUAAUGAGUCAUCCAUUAGGCUGCCGACUUCGCUGGGGAGUCGGAGUGUGUCAUAUGCUGUUGGGGAUAAAGGAUCAGAAUGGACCAUACGCUAGAUCGUAUCUGAGUUGCAGAAUGAGCCGUACGUUAGGCUGAAUCUGAUGACGAAAGGGGUAGUCGUACGUUAGACUACACUUCAGAAAUGUACCGUAUGUUAGGUAGGAUCUGAUGAUGAAAGGGGUAGUCGUACGUUAGACUACACUUCAGAAAUGUACCGUAUGUUAGGUAGCAUCUGAGGGGAUGGACAUCCGAACGGGUCGUACGUUAGACCGU
rnacentral:lncRNA from 1 species